GGAGAGGAAGGAAUGCCUGAUCUUGCCCAUGUGAUGCGCAUUUUGUCUGCAGAAAAUAUCCCAAAUUUACCUCCCGGGGGAGGCCUCGCUGGCAAGCGCAAUGUUAUUGAAGCUGUUUAUAGUAGACUUAAUCCAAACAAAGACAAUGAUGGGAUGGCAGACUUGAGCACGUCUAUUUGUAAAGCCAGCUGAGAACUCUGGUGACACAGCAGAGGCUGAUCAACCUACCAAGAGCCCGGAAGUACAAAGAAGAACAAAAGUUUUGUUUUGUUUUUGUAAACUCGAAAGAAAAAAAACAAGUCCAGCAUUACGUCAGUGCGGUAUCUGUUCCGCUGUGAGCGGUAACCUUCUAGCCCAUCAGCGAAGGAGGAGGAGAGCUCCCACCUUGCCUUACAAACCUUGCUUUUCCAUGUUCAUGCAAUAAACACGUUUGGCUUCUUGGU
rnacentral:lncRNA from 1 species